rnacentral:misc_RNA from 1 species
GAUGAAGAACGCAGCGAAAUGCGAUAAGUAAUGUGAAUUGCAGAAUUCAGUGAAUCAUCGAAUCUUUGAACGCACAUUGCGCCCGCUAGUAUUCUGGCGGGCAUGCCUGUCCGAGCGUCAUUUCAACCCUCAAGCCCCCGGGCUUGGUGUUGGGGAUCGGCGAGCCUCCGCGCCCGCCGUCCCCUAAAUCUAGUGGCGGUCUCGCUGUAGCUUCCUCUGCGUAGUAGCACACCUCGCACUGGGAAACAGCGCGGCCACGCCGUUAAACCCCCAACUUCUGAACGUUUGACCUCGGAUCAGGUAGGAAUACCCGCUGAACUUAAGCAUAUCAAUAAGUGGAGGA